AUAUAAACAUGCAUACAAAACUGUAAUAUGGUAUUAGUGGU
rnacentral:guide_RNA from 1 species